UACGGGGGGGGCAAGCGUUGUCCGGAAUCACUGGGCGUAAAGGGCGCGUAGGCGGCGCGGGAAGUCAUCGGUGAAAGUUCAGGGCUCAACUCUGAAUCGGCCGGUGAUACUCUCGUGCUCGAGCACUGUAGAGGCAGGUGGAAUUCCGGGUGUAGCGGUGGAAUGCGUAGAGAUCCGGAAGAACACCGGUGGCGAAGGCGGCCUGCUGGGCAGUAGCUGACGCUGAUGCGCGACAGCGUGGGGAGCAAACAGG
rnacentral:rRNA from 1 species